rnacentral:rRNA from 1 species
GAUGAACGCUGGCGGCGUGCCUAAUACAUGCAAGUCGAGCGAACAGACGAGGAGCUUGCUCCUCUGACGUUAGCGGCGGACGGGUAAGUAACACGUGGAUAACCUACCUAUAAGACUGGGAUAACUUCGGGAAACCGGAGCUAAUACCGGAUAAUAUAUUGAACCGCAUGGUUCAAUAGUGAAAGACGGUUUUGCUGUCACUUAUAGAUGGAUCCGCGCCGCAUUAGCUAGUUGGUAAGGUAACGGCUUACCAAGGCAACGAUGCGUAGCCGACCUGAGAGGGUGAUCGGCCACACUGGAACUGAGACACGGUCCAGACUCCUACGGGAGGCAGCAGUAGGGAAUCUUCCGCAAAGGGCGAAAGCCUGACGGAGCAACGCCGCGUGAGUGAUGAAGGUCUUCGGAUCGUAAAACUCUGUUAUUAGGGAAGAACAAAUGUGUAAGUAACUAUGCACGUCUUGACGGUACCUAAUCAGAAAGCCACGGCUAACUACGUG